CUGUUCGAGCGUCAUUAUAACCACUCAAGUUUCGACUUGGUAUUGGGGUUCGCGGUUUCGCGGUCCUUAAAAUCAGUGGCGAUGUCAUCUGGCUCUAAGCGUAGUAAUUCUCUCGCUACAGGGUCCGGGUGGUUCCUUGCCAAAAUCUCCCACUUUUAUAGGUUGACCUCGGAUCAGGUAGGGAUACCCGCUGAACUUAA
rnacentral:misc_RNA from 1 species